UUAAAUAAUUUAUAUUUUCACUCAGACUGCAAUCUUCAGACAGAGUUCUAGGUGUCUUCGGCGGGCGCGGGCCCGGAGGCAGAAGCCCCCCGGCGGCCGUGAGGCGGGCCCGCCGAAGCAACAAGGUACGAUAAACACGGGUGGGAGGUUGGACCCAGAGGGCCCUCACUCGGUAAUGAUCCUUCCGCAGGUUCACCUACGGAAA
rnacentral:misc_RNA from 1 species